AAGUCGUAACAAGGUUUCCGUAGGUGAACCUGCGGAAGGAUCAUUAACACGUAUCCAACGUUAAACCCCCUGUGAAUUUUAAGUCCUGCUCCGGAAUCUUUUCAAACAGCAAUCUUAGUAAAUCAUUGUUGAACAGUUUUGAUUUGAGACCUCUGUUUGGAGAGUGAACGUUGAGACGGUUGAGAUAGGGGCAUGGCUUCCCGAAUCAAUCAUCAAAUGAAAGCGUUGAUGAUUGUGUAAGGAUAACGCUUCUCGGUCGCUGGAGGCCCACACGGUCGGCGGACAUGCCUCAUGGGCGCAAGCCCCUUUUUAACCCCACUAAACUUCUCCUUCCUUGUGGCGAAAGCCGCAGGUGCAAAAAACGAACAACUGUUAACAAUGGAUAUCUUGGUUCUC
rnacentral:misc_RNA from 1 species